rnacentral:rRNA from 1 species
CCUGGCUCACGAUGAACGCUGGCGGCGCGCCUAACACAUGCAAGUCGAACGAGCGAGAGAGAGCUUGCUUUCUCGAGCGAGUGGCGAACGGGUGAGUAACGCGUGAGGAACCUGCCUCAAAGAGGGGGACAACAGUUGGAAACGACUGCUAAUACCGCAUAAGCCCACGGCUCGGCAUCGAGCAGAGGGAAAAGGAGCAAUCCGCUUUGAGAUGGCCUCGCGUCCGAUUAGCUAGUUGGUGAGGUAAUGGCCCACCAAGGCGACGAUCGGUAGCCGGACUGAGAGGUUGAACGGCCACAUUGGGACUGAGACACGGCCCAGACUCCUACGGGAGGCAGCAGUGGGGAAUAUUGCACAAUGGGGGAAACCCUGAUGCAGCGACGCCGCGUGGAGGAAGAAGGUCUUCGGAUUGUAAACUCCUGUUGUUGAGGAAGAUAAUGACGGUACUCAACAAGGAAGUGACGGCUAACUACGUGCCAGCAGCCGCGGUAAAACGUAGGUCACAAGCGUUGUCCGGAAUUACUGGGUGUAAAGGGAGCGCAGGCGGGAAGACAAGUUGGAAGUGAAAUCCAUGGGCUCAACCCAUGAACUGCUUUCAAAACUGUUUUUCUUGAGUAGUGCAGAGGUAGGCGGAAUUCCCGGUGUAGCGGUGGAAUGCGUAGAUAUCGGGAGGAACACCAGUGGCGAAGGCGGCCUACUGGGCACCAACUGACGCUGAGGCUCGAAAGUGUGGGUAGCAAACAGGAUUAGAUACCCUGGUAGUCCACACUGUAAACGAUGAUUACUAGGUGUUGGAGGAUUGACCCCUUCAGUGCCGCAGUUAACACAAUAAGUAAUCCACCUGGGGAGUACGACCGCAAGGUUGAAACUCAAAGGAAUUGACGGGGGCCCGCACAAGCAGUGGAGUAUGUGGUUUAAUUCGACGCAACGCGAAGAACCUUACCAAGUCUUGACAUCCUGCGACGGUGCUGGAAACAGUACUUUCCUUCGGGACGCAGAGACAGGUGGUGCAUGGUUGUCGUCAGCUCGUGUCGUGAGAUGUUGGGUUAAGUCCCGCAACGAGCGCAACCCUUAUGGUCAGUUACUACGCAAGAGGACUCUGGCCAGACUGCCGUUGACAAAACGGAGGAAGGUGGGGAUGACGUCAAAUCAUCAUGCCCUUUAUGACUUGGGCUACACACGUACUACAAUGGCGUUAAACAAAGAGAAGCAAGACCGCGAGGUGGAGCAAAACUCAGAAACAACGUCCCAGUUCGGACUGCAGGCUGCAACUCGCCUGCACGAAGUCGGAAUUGCUAGUAAUCGCAGAUCAGCAUGCUGCGGUGAAUACGUUCCCGGGCCUUGUACACACCGCCC